AAUGGGGGCAACCCUGAUCCAGCAAUGCCGCGUGUGUGAAGAAGGCCUUCGGGUUGUAAAGCACUUUAGUUAGGGAAGAAAGGUUCUAGUUUAAGAGAUAAGAGCUGUGACGUUACCUAAAGAAUAAGCACCGGCUAACUCUGUGCCAGCAGCCGCGGUAAUACAGAGGGUGCAAGCGUUAAUCGGAGUUACUGGGCGUAAAGGGCGCGUAGGCGGUCGAAUAAGCAUUGUGUGAAAUCCCUGGGCUCAACCUAGGACGUGCAUAGUGAACUGUUAGGCUUGAGUAUAGUAGAGGGAAGUGGAAUUUCCGGUGUAGCGGUGAAAUGCGUAGAUAUCGGAAGGAACAUCGGUGGCGAAGGCGACUUUCUGGGAUAUAACUGACGCUGAGGCGCGAAAGCAUGGGUAGCGAACAGGAUU
rnacentral:rRNA from 1 species